CACCCUUACAAUGAGUAACACCUAACUCCAGUAGUUCUUCUGACCUGAUAUCUCUACUCAGACAUUAAGGUUCUACUCUGUGAGAAGGACCGUGGCAGAUUCUGGUGCUUGAAGAAUUUCAGACUCAGGUCAUGAAAGAUAACUUCUUGCAGCUCAGUCAAACACGUCAGACUGGGUAUUGAACUGCUUCAUGGAGCCUUAGAAUGACUAAGGAUAAGAAUAUUAAAGUUACAUAUGCCAGG